AUUGAACGCUGGCGGCAUGCCUUACACAUGCAAGUCGAACGGCAGCACGGGAGCAAUCCUGGUGGCGAGUGGCGAACGGGUGAGUAAUAUAUCGGAACGUGACCAGUAGUGGGGGAUAACUGCUCGAAAGAGCAGCUAAUACCGCAUACGACCUGAGGGUGAAAGGGGGGGAUCGCAAGACCUCUCGCUGUUGGAGCGGCCGAUAUCAGAUUAGCUAGUUGGUGGGGUAAAGGCCUACCAAGGCAACGAGCUGUAGUUGGUCUGAGAGGACGACCAGCCACACUGGGACUGAGACACGGCCCAGACUCCUACGGGAGGCAGCAGUGGGGAAUUUUGGACAAUGGGCGCAAGCCUGAUCCAGCAAUGCCGCGUGCAGGAAGAAGGCCUUCGGGUUGUAAACUGCUAUUGUCAGGGAAGAAAUCCUCUAGGUUAAUACCCUUGGGGGGAUGACGGUACCUGAAGAAUAAGCACCGGCUAACUACGUGCCAGCAGCCGCCGUAACAC
rnacentral:rRNA from 1 species